CCUACGGGAGGCAGCAGUGGGGAAUUUUGGACAAUGGGCGCAAGCCUGAUCCAGCCAUGCCGCGUGCAGGAUGAAGGCCUUCGGGUUGUAAACUGCUUUUGUACGGAACGAAAAGGUUUGGCCUAAUAAGCUGAGCUCAUGACGGUACCGUAAGAAUAAGCACCGGCUAACUACGUGCCAGCAGCCGCGGUAAUACGUAGGGUGCGAGCGUUAAUCGGAAUUACUGGGCGUAAAGCGUGCGCAGGCGGUUAUGUAAGACAGAUGUGAAAUCCCCGGGCUCAACCUGGGAACUGCAUUAGUGACUGCAUAGCUGGAGUACGGCAGAGGGGGUAUGGAAUUCCGCGUGUAGCAGUGAAAUGCGUAGAUAUGCGGAGGAACACCGAUGGCGAAGGCAAUCCCCUGGGCCUGUACUGACGCUCAUGCACGAAAGCGUGGGGAGCAAACAGGAUUAGAUACCCUGGUAGUCCACGCCCUAAACGAUGUCAACUGGUUGUUGGGUCUUCACUGACUCAGUAACGAAGCUAACGCGUGAAGUUGACCGCCUGGGGAAGUCGGCCGCAAGGUUGAAACGUCAAAGGAUUGACGGNNGAGACGNGCGAGGACGACGACGAGGGGAGGAGG
rnacentral:rRNA from 1 species